rnacentral:rRNA from 1 species
GCACUGUUUCGCUGCGGGCUGCGAGAGCGGUACCAAAGUGAGACAAACUCAGAAUACCAGAUAAAAUUUUACCAGUGAGACGGUGGGGGAUAAGCUUCAUCGUCGAAAGGGAAACAGCCCAGACCACCAGCUAAGGUCCCCAAGUAGAUACUAAGUGAGAAAGGAGGUGGGAGUGCAUAGACAACCAGGAGGUUUGCUUAGAAGCAGCAAUCCUUGAAAGAGUGCGUAAUAGCUCACUGGUCUAGCGCUCCUGCGCCGAAAAUGAAUGGGGCUAAGUAUCUCACCGAAGCUGUGGACUUGUACUAGUUACAAGUGGUAGAGGAGCGUUCUGUAUGGGGUGAAGCAUUAGCGGCAAGCAGAUGUGGACGGUACAGAAGUGAGAAUGUCGGCUUAAGUAGCGAAAAUAUAUGUGAGAAUCAUAUACCCCGAAAGCCCAAGGAUUUCUUCGGAAGGCUCGUCCGCGAAGAGUUAGUCGGGACCUAAGGCGAGGCCGAAAGGCGUAGUCGAUGGAUACAGGGUGAAUAUUCCCUGACUAUUACAUGGGAGCUUUGAUAGGGACGCAUGAAAAAUAACCACGCCCUGAAUGGAUUGGGAGGAGUCUAAGGACUCCGUGUGGUAAAGCUAGUGCCAAGAAAAGCUAUCAAAGUGUUGAAGAUGUAGUACCCGUACCCGAAACCGACACAGGUGGGCAGGUAGAGAAUACUAAGGGGCGCGAGAUAACUCUCUCUAAGGAACUCGGCAAAAUGACCCCGUAACUYCGGG